UACGUACCGUCCAAACGUUAUCCGGAUUCACUGGGUUAAAGGGUGCGUAGGCGGACAGGUAAGUCAGUGGUGAAAUCUCUGGGACUUAACUCAGAAACUGCCGUUGAUACUAUUUGUCUUGAAUAUCUUGGAGGUAAGCGGAAUAUGUCAUGUAGCGGUGAAAUGCUUAGAUAUGACAUAGAACACCGAUAGCGAAGGCAGCUACUCAGGAAGAUUGACGCUGAGGCACGAAAGCGUGGGAGCAACAGG
rnacentral:rRNA from 1 species